CAGACUCCUACGGGAGGCAGCAGUGGGGAAUAUUGCACAAUGGGCGGAAGCCUGAUGCAGCAACGCCGCGUGCGGGAUGACGGCCUUCGGGUUGUAAACCGCUUUCGCCUGUGGCGAAGCGUGAGUGACGGUAAUGGGUAAAGAAGCACCGGCUAACUACGUGCCAGCAGCCGCGGUGAUACGUAGGGUGCGAGCGUUGUCCGGAUUUAUUGGGCGUAAAGGGCUCGUAGGUGGUUGAUCGCGUCGGAAGUGUAAUCUUGGGGCUUAACCCUGAGCGUGCUUUCGAUACGGGUUGACUUGAGGAAGGUAGGGGAGAAUGGAAUUCCUGGUGGAGCGGUGGAAUGCGCAGAUAUCAGGAGGAACACCAGUGGCGAAGGCGGUUCUCUGGGCCUUUCCUGACGCUGAGGAGCGAAAGCGUGGGGAGCGAACAGGCUUAGAUACCCUGGUAGUCCACGCUGUAAACGGUGGGUACUAGGUGUGGGGUCCAUUCCACGGGUUCCGUGCCGUAGCUAACGCUUUAAGUACCCCGCCUGGGGAGUACGGCCGCAAGGCUAAAACUCAAAGGAAUUGACGGGGGCCCGCACAAG
rnacentral:rRNA from 1 species